CUGGAAUUCAGCUGUUCUGGCUGGGCUUAUCCUGGGUGUGCCUACCCAAGGCACUAACACUUCCCCUGACCACUAACCACUCCAGAGCCUGAGAAAACACCAAAAAACCUCUCCCAGGGGCCAGGAGGCAAGAGGCAGGGAAAUGGCAGCGUGAGUGACUGCUGGGACACGCUGGAAGGUGAACAAAUCCUGCCUCGGAUGGCUUGUGGAGGGGGUUCCUU
rnacentral:lncRNA from 1 species